UACGGAGGGUGCGAGCGUUAUCCGGAAUUACUGGGCGUAAAGCGUGCGCAGGCGGUGCUGUAAGACAGGCGUGAAAUCCCCGGGCUUAACCUGGGAAUGGCGCUUGUGACUGCAGCGCUGGAGUGCGGCAGAGGGGGAUGGAAUUCCGCGUGUAGCAGUGAAAUGCGUAGAUAUGCGGAGGAACACCGAUGGCGAAGGCAAUCCCCUGGGCCUGCACUGACGCUCAUGCACGAAAGCGUGGGGAGCAAACAGG
rnacentral:rRNA from 1 species